AAUCAACGCUGGCGGCGUGCCUCAGACAUGCAAGUCGAACGAUUAAAGCUCUCUUCGGAGAGUGCAUAGAGUGGCGCACGGGUGAGUAACACGUAAGUAAUCUACCUUCGAGUGGGGAAUAACGUCCGGAAACGGACGCUAAUACCGCAUAAUGCAGCGGCAUCGCAAGAUGACAGUUGUUAAAGGAGCAAUUCGCUUGAAGAGGAGCUUGCGGCAGAUUAGCUAGUUGGUAAGGUAAUGGCUUACCAAGGCUACGAUCUGUAACCGGUCUAAGAGGACGGUCGGUCACACUGACACUGAAUAACGGGUCAGACUCCUACGGGAGGCAGCAGUCGGGAAUUUUGGG
rnacentral:rRNA from 1 species